CCAGUCACCAAAGUGAGUUUCCUCUCCUUUCAGAGAUACUGAUGUUUAUGUUCCAAAGAAAUGGCUCCCAGGUCACUGAGAAAGACAUUCUAGGUCAUAAAGCUGACCAAAAGACCUAUGUAGUUUUCAAAACGCUGAAUAUACAAUUUAAAGAGAGGAGGAAGUACUUACAAAGUUUCCUACAGUAAAUACUCCAAGAGAAAGAGAAACUUCUGCCCUUACUUUCAAUAGAGAGAAUUUAAUUCUUUUUAGUUUUUAUUUAUCCUUGGAAAUUAGAUUUUAAAAGCUUUGAGGAAAUAAGAACGUUUUCCUUAUUACAAGGAAUUUUCUUCUCUCAUAGUGACACUUCGAAAAUUAUAAGAUUCACCUUGACCACUUCACAGAACUUUGGAAUGGGCAAGAAGGCCCUAGAAGACACCAUUAUAGGGGAAAGCCAGCAUCUUAUAAGGAACUUUGAGACUGACAAAGGAGAGACACAUCUACUGAUUAUUUCAAUGAUGAUACUUUGGUGGUACUUGUUAAUAAUCUGUUUGCAGCAGGUACAGAGAGCAUGGUUUCCACUCUGUGCUGGGGGAUUCUGUUCAUGUCACGAUAUCCUGAGAUCCAGAAAAAGGUCCAUGAUGAGAUUGCCAAAGUCAUGGGGUCCACCCAGCCUUGAAUGGCACACUGAACUCAAAUGCCGUACACAGAUGCUGUCAUUCUCGAAGUGCAGAGAUUUGCUGAUAUCCUGCCCACAGGCUUACCCCGAGCAACCACCACAAAUACUAUAUUUAAAAACAACUAUAUUCCAAAGCAGGUACCAGAUGAAAAUUUGUUAGAGUAUAUGAAUACCCUGCUGCUGCUGCUGCUGCUGCUAAGUUGCUUCAGUCGUGUCCGACUCUGUGCAACCCCAUAGACAGCCUCCUACAAGGCUCCUCUGUCCCUGGGAUUCUCCAGGCAAGAACACUGGAAUACUUUUCCCUUAUAUGUUAAGCUGAAACUCCAGUACUUUGGCCACCUCAUGUGAAGAGUUGACUCAUUGGAAGAGACUCUGAUGCUGGGAGGGAUUUGGGGCAGGAGGAGAAGGGGACGACAGAGAAUGAGAUGGCUGGAUGGCAUCACUGACUCGAUGGACGUCCCCUCUCUAGUGUGCUGGGGAGUCACUGGCCAAGAUGGAGCUUUUGCUUUUCUUCAUGAGUCUCCUGCAGAAGUUCACCUUCCAGCCACCCCCUGGGGUCUCCCAUCUGGACUUGGACCCAACCCGGGAUACUGGUGUCGUCAUCCAACCAAUGCCUCACAAGAUACGUGCUCUGCCCCGAGCCAGGGUCUGCGUGCCAGCUACUGUCCCAGUUCUCUGUUAUUUUGCGGUCCUUUGCACUGACUGCACUGUUCUGCACCUUGACAGCUGUGUACUCUGCCGAGUCCUUCACUGCUUCAGCAGGCAGUCACAUCAUCCCAGAGGCCUCUGGUGUUAAGUCAGAUUGGGUUCCUCUGUUAAUCUCUGCAGCAAAAACCUCCUUACUGCCGUUCUCCAAGACAGUACACAUCAACACAACAUUUGACAAAUAGAACCUACUAGUGCCAUAAGGUUUUGCCCUUUAGUCCGAGAAACUGUCCUUUUCCUCCAAGGCAUAUGAGACAUCUAUGUAUUACUAGCUCUAAUUGCUUGGGGCAGGGCAGGGGGUGCAGUUUUAAUUGGUUGGUGCAGGGGAGGGGGGUGCUGUAUAAUGCUUUGUCUAGAAUGCUCAUGAAUAUCUUUAAAACUGCAGUGAAGAAAAUUUAACUCUUAAGCGAGGGUCCCAUUAAACAUAAGAUAUUGGCUUCAUUCAUUGGUUCAGUCAAUAUAGGAUGACUAAUAACAGAUCAUUGCUUGUGAGUAUGACCAAUUUGCUGAGGUCAGAAAAUGAGGUUCCUGCUUCUGACAUAACUGGAACUUGAAGACCACCCCCCUUCUCUAUGUUCAGUGCUCUGAGUCCCAGUAAAGUCAUACCCAAGGGACCUAUGAGCAGAAUAAAGAAAUCAUUGUCAGUUCCCGUGAGACACAAAGCAUCUUUAGCCUUUACAAAUCAAAUGGAUGUCCCUAAUAUCAAUAUAAAUGAUUCUCCCCUGCUCUUAUCUGAUUCCUAUCAAAGCCAAAAUUGCACUGGACAGGGUUAAACAGUAAAAGAAGGUUUUAUUUAAAGCUAUUGCAAUAGGAGAGAGAGGCCAGAAUUUAGUCUGAGCUCAAUUCAACUGAAACAAGGGAGGCAAAGGUUUUUAAGUGCUAACGUGAGCUAGUGGGUUUAAGGGAUUAGAUCUGAUAAACAGAGUGCCUGAAGAACUAUGGAUGGAGGUUCAUAACAUUGUACAGGAGGCAGUGAUCAAAAUCAUCCCCAAGAAAAAGGAGUGCAAAAAGGCAAAUGGUUGUCUGAGAAGGCCUUACAGGUAGCUGAGAAAAGAAGAGAAGCAAAAGGCAAAUGAGAAAAGGGAAGAUAUAUCCUUCUGAAUACAGAGUUCCAAAGAAUAGCAAGGAGAGAUAAGAAAGCCUUCCUAAGUGAUCAAUGCAAAGAAAUAGAGGAAAACAAUAGAAUGGGAAAGACUAGAGACUUCUUCAAGAAAAUUAGAGAUAGCAAGGGAAUAUUCAUGAAAAGAUGGGCACAAUAAAGGACAAAAACAUUAUGGACCUAACAGAAGCAGAAGAUAUUAAGAAGAAGUAGCAAGAAUACACAGAACUAUACAAAAAAAGAUCUUAAUGACCCAGAUAACCACAAUCGUGUGAUCACUCACCUAGAGCCAAACAUCCUGGAGUGCAAAGUCAAGUGAGCCUUAGAAGGCAUCACUAUGAACAAAGCUAGUUGAGGUGAUAGUAUUCCAGCUGAGCUAUUUCAAAUCCUAAAAGAUGAUGCUGCUAAAGUGUUGUACUCAAUAUGCCAGCAAAUUUGGAAAAAACUCAGUAGUGGCCAUGGGACUGGAAAAGGUCAGUUUGCAUUCCAAUCCCCAAAAAAGGCAAUGCCAAAGAAUGUUCAAGCUACUGCACAAUUGCACUCAUCUCACAAACUGGCCAAGUAAUGCUCAAAAUUCUCCAAGCUAGGUUUCAACAGUAUUUGAACCGUGAACUUCCAGAUGUUCAAACUGGAUUCAGAAAAGGCAGAGGAACUAGAAAUCAAAUUGCCAACAUCCGUUGGAUCUUCAAAAAAGCAAGAAAAUUCCAGAAAAACAUCUACUUCUACUUCAUUGACUAUGCUAAAGCCUUUGACUGUGUGAAUCACAACAAACUGUGGAAAAUUCUUCAAAAGAUGGGAAUACCAGACCACCUUACCUGCCUCCUGAGAAACCUGUAUGCAAAUCAAGAACCUACAGUUAGAACUGGACAUAGAACAACAGACUGGUUGCAAAUUGGAAAAGGAGUAUGUCAAAGCUGUAUAUUGUCGCUCUGCUUAUUUAACUUAUAUGCAGAGUUAUGCAAAAUGCUGGGCUGGAUGAAGCACAAGCUGGAAUCAAGACUGCCGGGAGAAAUAUCAAUAACUUCGGAUAUGGAGAUGACACCACCCUUAUGGCAGAAAGCGAAGAGGAACUAAAGAACCUCCUGAAAGUUAAAAGGGAGAGUGUAAAUGCUGGCUUAAAAUUCAACAUUCAAAAAAUUAAGACCAUGGUAUCUAGUCCCAUCACUUCAUGGCAAAUAGAUGGGGAAACAAUGGAAACAGUCACAGACUUUAUUUUCUUGGGCUCCAAAAUCACCACAGAUGGUGACUGCAGCCAUGAAAUUAAAAGACGCUUGCCCCUUGGAAGAAAAGCUAUGACCAACCUAGACAGCAUAUUAAAAAGCAGAGACAUUACUUUGUUGACAAAGGUUCAUCUAGUCAAAGCUAUGGUUUUUCCAAUAGAGUUGGGCCAUAAAGAAGGCUAACCACUAAAGAAUUGAUGCUUUUGAACUGUGGUGUUGGAGAAAACUCUUGAGAGUCCCUUGGACUUGCAAGAUCAAACCAAUUAAUCCUAAAGGAAAUCAGUCCUGAAUAUUCAUUGGAAGGACUGAUGCUGAAGCUGAAACUCCAAUACUUUGGCCACCUGAUGCGAAGAGCUGACUCAUUGGAAAAGAUCCUGAUGCUGGGAAAGAUUGAAGGCAGGGGGAGAAGGGGACGACAGAAGAUGAGAUGGUUGGAUGGCAUCACCAACUCAAUGAGCGUGAGUUUGAGCAAGAUCCAGGAGUCGGUGAUGGACAGGGAAGCCCAACAUGCUGCAAUCCAUGGGGUCUCAAAGAGUCAGAUACAACUAAGGGACUGAACUAAACUGUGAGCUAGUAGAAAAGUCCUGGAGUGCGGAGUGUGGUCAAUGUGUCCUGCACACUGAAUUAUUCUUUCAUUUGCAAAUAUUAUUCUCUGAUUCUAGAUCUGUGUUUGCUCAUUUUUACCAACAGAAGUUAGGCUCCUACUCGCCCUCAGAGCCUGGGAGAUAGGGACACUAAGUUCCUUAGAGGUUAUAUUUCCACGGGAUGUCUCCCAUGUCCUUGAGACAUCCCUGUAUUGUAAAACUGGCAAGAGAUUUUGAAAAAUAUUUACAUUUUAAAGGGGCUGAGAAAUAAUUCAUAAUUAAAAGUGUUCUCAAGUAAAUUCUCUAAGGAAAAGGGAGGUUAAGGUCUAGAGUCAGAAACUAGCCUGCUUAGGUUAAUCAAGGAGAGAAAAGUACUAAGGCCUUGGUCACCCCCAAUCCAGCAUUCUCCACAAACCCUUUUUAGAAUGAGUCAGAUGGGGGACUUUCCUGGUGGUUCAGUGGUUAAGAAUCCACCUGCCUAUGCAGGGGACACGGGUUUGAUCCCUGGUCUGGGAAGAUCCCAGGUGCUGUACGGCAACUAAGCCCUUGUACCACAACUACUGAGCCGUAUCCUAGACCCUGUGUUCCAACACGAGAGAAGUCGCCACAGUGAGGGGCCCACGCACCGCAACUGGACAGCAGCCUCCACUCACCACAACUAGAGAAAGCCUGUGUGCAGCAGCAAAGACCCAGAGCAGCCAAAAAUAAAUAAUAAUUUAAAAAGAAAGGAUGAGUCAGACUGGGGAAUACUCAGGUACCUUGGCUUCCCAGUGGAACUAAAUGAUUAAAAAAAAAAAAAAAAAUGGGGCUUGCUAAUUUUAAUUUGUUUAAGCAUAUUCAAGAGACAGCUGCAUUUUCUGACUUGCCCAUAAUACAUAAUUGGUGUUCAAUAAUAUAUAGUUAAUUCUAAAUCUAAAGUCAAAAUUAAUUCAUGGACUGCUUUCUUUUACAGAGAUCAACAGAAAUAGCUUUGAUUCAAAAUCAGGAAUUUGAGUUCUAAUUCCAAUCCUUUCAGUUCCCCAUUUUUAUGACUUUAUGACUAUAUAUUGGCAGAGGGAUACUUAGUGAAUGUGACACCAGAAGCAGAUGAUUUUUAACAUUAAUAUGAAAAAUGAUAUUCAAUAGUAAUCAUACAGUAAACAAUUUUGAUCCUUUGGUGAGUCUGAUAUAAUUAUUACAUAUGAAGAACUGUCAAGCAGCUAAUACACUUUAAUACAACUGUCUAGUUUUUAUAUUUAGUAGAAAUGUCUACAAAUAAAAACAGAAACUACUAAAU
ensembl:lncRNA